rnacentral:rRNA from 1 species
GACGAACGCUGGCGGCGUGCUUAACACAUGCAAGUCGAGCGGUAAGGCCCUUUCGGGGUACGACGAGCGGCGAACGGGUAGGAGUAACAACGUGGGUGGACCUCGCCCUCCAGCUCUGGGAGUAAGCCUCGGGAAACCGGGUACGUAAUACUGGAUAUGACUCCAUGACGCAUGUUGUGGGGUGGAAAGACCUUGUGCGGC